AUACGUAGGUGGCAAGCGUUAUCCGGAUUUAUUGGGUGUAAAGGGCGUGUAGGCGGAGAUGCAAGUCAGGCGUGAAAUCUAGGGGCUCAACCCCUAAACUGCUUUUGACACUGUAUCCCUUGAGUAUCGGAGAGGCAGGCGGAAUUCCCAUUGUAGCGGUGAAAUGCGUAGAUUUUAGGAGGAACACCAGUGGCGAAGGCGGCCUGCUGGACGACAACUGACGCUGAGGCGCGAAAGCGUGGGGAGCAAACAGGAUUAGAUACCCUGGUAGUCCACGCUGUAAACGAUGAAUACUAGGUGUGGGGGGACUGACCCCCUCCGUGCCGCAGUUAACACAAUAAGUAUUCCACCUGGGGAGUACGAUCGCAAGAUUGAAACUCAAAUGAAUUGACGGGG
rnacentral:rRNA from 1 species